UCCGUAGGCGGUUUUGUAAGUCAGUGGUGAAAGCCCAUCGCUCAACGGUGGAACGGCCAUUGAUACUGCAAGACUUGAAUUAUUGGGAAGCAACUAGAAUAUGUAGUGUAGCGGUGAAAUGCUUAGAGAUUACAUGGAAUACCAAUUGCGAAGGCAGGUUGCUACCAAUAUAUUGACGCUGAUGGACGAAAGCGUGGGAGCGAACA
rnacentral:rRNA from 1 species